AUUAGUUCUCAGUUCAUUCCUCAAGUUUGAAUUGAUUAAGAAAACCUAACACUUCCUCCCUCUUUGGGAUUGGUCGCGGGAGCUCUUAUGGUUCUCAAGCACCUAUAGCUCCAACUUCCAACAGAGGUCAAUCCAUUUGUCAUUCUGGAGAUUGCAUCCAUUGCCAAAUUUGUGGACGUCUUGGACACUCUACUCUUAAUUGUUACAAUCGCAUGAAUAUGGCAUUUGAAGGGCAUGUACCCUCAUCUCGUCUCACUGCAAUGGCUACUUAUACUACCCCUUCUUCGGCUAAUAGUGUGACUUGGCUUUCUGAUAAUGGUGUCAAUGCUCAUGUGACUCCCAAUAUAGUGAACAACAAUCUGGAGCAGUGUAAGCUAGACUUCUACGAUGGACUUAGGCAAUUGCUCAUUUUCUAUGAAGAACAAAGGAUUGCCAAUGCUCAAUGCUUGUGAGAAUCAAUUUCGAAAAGG